rnacentral:rRNA from 1 species
UACGUAGGGGGCUAGCGUUGUCCGGAAUCAUUGGGCGUAAAGCGCGUGUAGGCGGUCCGGUAAGUCCGCUGUGAAAGUCGGGGGCUCAACCCUCGGAUGCCGGUGGAUACUGUCGGGCUUGAGUACGGAAGAGGCGAGUGGAAUUCCUGGGGUAGCGGUGAAAUGCGCAGAUAUCAGGAGGAACACCAAUUGCGAAGGCAGCUCGCUGGGACGUUACUGACGCUGAGACGCGAAAGCGUGGGGAGCAAACAGG